GAAGCAAACUGGUUCUAUCGCUGUCCUUCAUCGGAGAGAGGAAAGUCCGGGCAACAAAGAGCGACACGCUUCCUAACGGGAAGGCUGCCUCCGGGUAGACAGAAAGUGCCACAGAAAAUAAACCGCCCUAUGCAAAUGGGGUAAGGGUGAAAACGUGAGGUAAGAGCUCACGGCCUUGUAUGGCGACAUACAUUGCGGUAAACCUCGUGUGUUGAAAAACCAAAUAGGUUGCGAGAAUUCAAGGGGCUGCUCGUCCUUUUCUCUUCGGAGAACUCGUAAUGGGUAGGUUGAUUGAGCCUGUGCGUGAGUGCAGGCCUAGAUAAAUGAUAGAAAUCCUUGCUAAAGGAUACAGAAUCCGGCUUAUAAGGUUUGCUUCUUUU
rnacentral:RNase_P_RNA from 1 species